ensembl:lncRNA
UGUGGAUGUGUGUGUGUGAGAGGUGUGUGCAUGUGACACUGCGUGUGGAUGUGUGAGACACUGGAUGUGUGUGAGGUGUUGUGUGUGUGACACUGUGUGUGGAUGUGUGUGUGAGACACUGUGGAUGUGUGUGUGUGUGAGGUGUGUGUGAGACACUGUGUGUGGAUGUGUGUGUGACACUGUGUGGGUGUGUGACACUGUGUGUGGAUGUGUGUGUGAGACACUGGAUGUGUGCAUGAGAGGUGUGUGUGUGAGACACUGUGUGGGUGUGUGAGUGAGACACUGUGUGGAUGUGUGUGUAACACUGUGUAUGGAUGUGUGUGUCUGAGAGGUAUGUGUGUGUGACACUGUGUGUGGAUGUGUGUGAGAGACACUGGAUGUGUGCGUGUGUGAGAGGUGUGUGUGUGACACUGUGUGUGGGUGUGAGACACUGUGUGGAUGUGGGUGAGACACUGUGUGGAUGUGAGUGAGACACUGUGUGGAUGUGUGUGUGUGGUGUGUGUGUGUGACACUGUGUGGUUGUGUGAGUGUGACACUGUGUGGAUGUGAGUGAGACACUGUGUGGAUGUGAGUGAGACACUGUGUGGAUGUGUGUGUGUGACACUGUGUGGAUGUGAGUGAGACACUGUGUGGAUGUGAGUGCACGCACGGGGUCACGUUCUCCCUGCUAUGCACCCCGUGCUAUCUCCUGGGAUGUGAUCUGCGGUCUCCUUGCAUGACUGGGCGGAGCUCUUGCUUCUUUAUUCUGAUCUGUUCACUUUUGCUUCCUCCACAGGGAGCGUCUCCAGUUCCAGAUCCUCCUGUGGCCUUGGUACACGCCGCUCCCCUGCCCGGAACGCCUGCUCAGCAUCCACCAGGGCUCCUAACCUGGGCAGUUCCUAAACCACAAUGGAGACAGCUCGGCGGUCCUCUGCAGAGUGCCCUCCCCAUCCCCACACAGGGCUGCUGAGGCCUUUCUCUCACCAUGCUGUGCAGGGGAUGAGCCCCUUCAUCCAGGAAGGCUUUGCUGAGAGCCCCUCCUGCAGGCCCCACACUCUGAGUCCUUGGCUGGGAUGGAGACAGCUGGUGGGGCUGAGAAACCUUCUCCACCAGGUGAAGGGUGAAGAGGAUCUCCAGACAGCAGCAGGAAUAUCCUGGCAAGAGGAGAAGGCACAGCAUAUUUGGCUCAGGGCACUGCAAGGCAGGUCACGACAAGAGGUGGACUGGCAAGGCCACCUGACAAAAGCCCAGUGAGGAGAGUCGCUGAUGUAAUCAGACUUGCAUUCUGGAAAGGCGGCUGUGGCUGCCAUGAAAACAGAGUAUGCUCGAGAAGCGUUCUUUCCAUGUGUCGGGGGAGCCCUGCCAGGAGGCAGAGGCACAGGGCAGAGAGCAGGGCAUAGUGGGAGCUGGGAGCAGCACUCCCCAAGGUGUGGGUCUGGGGUCCUGGCAGAGCUGGCCUUGUGCAUUAUUGGAGCUGCUGCCUGGCUGAGAGCAGGAGUGGCCUGAAGGGCCGGCCAGCCCAAGGAAGCCCUUUCCAGGAGUUAAAAGAAAAACUUCAGCCUAAUUAAAUGGAAAGGAGUUUCAUUAAGCAAUGAACGAUUCGUGAGUCAGGCAGCCCCCAGAAUCACAGCAGAUUCAGAGAGACGCCAGUGGUCAGACAGAUUUACAGACAGAAAAAGGAAAGUGAUGUACAGAAAUCGGAAGCGAGGCCCCGAAACAGCCGGAUUGGUGACACGUUGGCGGUUGCCUUAUUUGAACACAGUUUGAACACUCCGCAGUGUAUGAGUGGUUGAAGGACGUCUGCUGGGGUUGGCCAAGACUCAGCCAUGGUUACAGGCGCAUGCUCCUAAGUUAGGUUUCCCACCUUGUUCGCCUAUUAGGCUAGGUUGCGGCUCAUCCACAAGGCCUCAAAUAGAGAAGUAGGGAAUCCCUCUCAGGCCGUAUUUAGUUCACUUUAAUCCAGGGUUACUCUGCAAAGUUUCCAUGGGCUGUGGCCUCUGGGCUUCAGCCAUGACGCAGGUGCAUUGUCCCCUGCUUUGCUCAGAAAGCACAAGAAAACUGCCCAGCCCAGCCCUCCAGUGAGGCUGGGGGAGAUAUGCACGCUUUCCUAGCUGCUGUUUGUCCUGAGAGAGAGGCCUGGCUGGGUCAGCUGGCUCCAUUCCCUGCAGAGCACAGCCUGCACAUGGGGGAGGUGGUGUCUGUGCCAGGCUGUGUUUCCGCUGGAGAACGGCUCACGAGAAGGAGCAAGGCUCCACCUGGACGCGCAGGGCUCAGGGGCGCUGGUGGAGAGACACACAGGAUGCUGUCCGUAAACGUGCAACUGCGCCUCAUCAAUCCCACUGGUUUGCCACAA